rnacentral:tRNA from 1 species
UAUAUAAAUAAGCUAAAUAAAGCUAUUAGGUUCAUACCCUGACUAUAGAAUGCCUGCCCUUCUUUUAUAUAACC